GAUCAUGGCUCAGGACGAACGCUGGCGGCGUGCCUAAUACAUGCAAGUCGAGCGAAGUUUUUCUGGUGCUUGCACUAGAAAAACUUAGCGGCGAACGGGUGAGUAACACGUAAAGAACCUGCCUCAUAGACGGGGACAACUAUUGGAAACGAUAGCUAAUACCGGAUAACAACAUAAAUCGCAUGAUAAAUGUUUAAAAGUUGGUUUCGGCUAACACUAUGAGAUGGCUUUGCGGUGCAUUAGCUAGG
rnacentral:rRNA from 1 species